UCUCAUCGGUUGUUGCUGUCGCUGCGUAAACAAGCGCGCGCGUGCAGAGGCGUUGCCCCCGCCCCCCUCUCACCUCUCAUUUGGGGGCACUCCCGCUCCGACUGCCACGGCAGCGACGAAAGCCAAGCACUGGCCGACACAACGGAACAGCAAUGCGCACCGGCACCUCCGCCCGCGCGCCCUUCACGCACGGCGUCGCUGGCCGCGCCAUCAAGACGCGCGUCAAGUCGAAUCUCGGUCAGCCCUACGCGCAGCGCUUCUACAACAACGUGUGGACGUACCGCGUGGCGCAGCUCACCACGUCGAAUGUGCGCAGCAUGAAGAAAGCGCGCAUUGCCGUGGGCUUCGACAGCGGCGUUGGUGGUGGACACAGUGGCGGCGCAUCCUCGCAGGACGGCAACGACGGCAGCGGCAGCGGCGCAGAGCUGCCAGUGAAGAGCGACUUGCAGCCACACGCCCUUCACAAAUUCACCGGCGAGGAGGACUGGUCCAUCGUCAUCGCGGUGCCAAAGAGCUCCGAGCAUGUGCGCAACCUGCAGGACUGCGCCAAGGGCAGCCUCAUGCUCGGUCACACAGACCCGCAGUUGUUUCACUGGUUCAAGGAGCUUGGUGCCCUGCCGCCGCGCUCGCUGCUGUCGGGGCCGAUGGAGCUGCUGCGCGGUGACUUGCAGGUGGAGGCGUGGGAGCGGACCUUCUCGCGGCAUCCGGUAAUCCACCGCAUUGCGCAAGACAUGUGGGAAAGCGACGAGAGCAAGACAGCCGAGGAGGCCGUGCACAUCGCCAAGCGGGAGCAGGAAGAGGAUGAGAAGCGCAUGCGCCGCAUGAGCAGCAGCGACUGGCGCGCCAAGUUCCGCGACCGCGAGCGCAACCCGACGCGUGCAGAGGACGAGGAGGCGCCGGUGUACGUGAUCAAGCCGGAGACCUUCUCGCUCUUCCGCAUGAAGCCGGAUGUGAGGCUGUGGAUGAACAUUGCAGGGCAGACGCAGCGGGUGUGGGAUCCGGUGGUGCCCGACCCCGACCCGCUCUGCCGCUGCUCCCACCGCUUCAUUCGCAUGCUGAACCUGGGGCGGCAGAAGCUGGUGCCAUCGCUGAACAUGAACUACUCGCUGAAGCUGACGAACGCCUUCAUCUUCGAGAUCAACGACCGCGGGAUGUGGGCGAUGGGCACGCAGGAAAACUUGGCGGGAAAGAACGGCGUCGUGAGAGAAGAGUGGAUGGAGCUGCGGCUCGACUUUGGCAAGAAUCAGGUUAUCACGACAGAGCAAGAGAUGGAGUGGUGGGUGCGCGGGCUGACGAAGCUAGGUGCGCCGGAGUUGUCGCAGACGAACAGCAGCGUGGAAGAUGCCGGCUUGAACCCCGAAGACUUCGAAUAUCGCCAUAUUUGAGCGGGAAGAGGAGGAGGAAGGGGAGCGAUGGGGAUGGGUCGGGGUGGCCACAGGAGGCAGGCACCCCCACAUACCCGUGUAGCCGCACACACCCCUUUGUGUCGCCCCCCUCCCGCCUCCACCAGCCCUCCACCGCAUCCGGACGCUGCCCAUGACCGUGCUGCUCACAUGUAUGGCACACAAAUGCACACGCGGGCCCACAAGCAGGAGCGGCCGCGCUGUUUUGCCCACCCACCCCAUUCUCGCUCUCACGUGCGGCGCGGACGUGGGUGCGCGCGCCUCUCAGACGCAUUCCCUCGCCCCACGUCCGGAAAGCGGAUCGAGCAGGCGCGCUAGCGUAUAGUCGUCUUG
rnacentral:misc_RNA from 1 species